rnacentral:rRNA from 1 species
UUAAGCGACUAAGCGUACACGGUGGAUGCCCUGGCAGUCAGAGGCGAUGAAGGACGUGCUAAUCUGCGAUAAGCGUCGGUAAGGUGAUAUGAACCGUUAUAACCGGCGAUUUCCGAAUGGGGAAACCCAGUGUGAUUCGUCACACUAUCAUUAACUGAAUCCAUAGGUUAAUGAGGCGAACCGGGGGAACUGAAACAUCUAAGUACCCCGAGGAAAAGAAAUCAACCGAGAUUCCCCCAGUAGCGGCGAGCGAACGGGGAGCAGCCCAGAGCCUGAAUCAGUGUGUGUGUUAGUGGAAGCGUCUGGAAAGGCGCGCGAUACAGGGUGACAGCCCCGUACACAAAAAUGCACAUACUGUGAGCUCGAUGAGUAGGGCGGGACACGUGGUAUCCUGUCUGAAUAUGGGGGGACCAUCCUCCAAGGCUAAAUACUCCUGACUGACCGAUAGUGAACCAGUACCGUGAGGGAAAGGCGAAAAGAACCCCGGCGAGGGGAGUGAAAAAGAACCUGAAACCGUGUACGUACAAGCAGUGGGAGCCUCUUUAUGGGGUGACUGCGUACCUUUUGUAUAAUGGGUCAGCGACUUAUAUUCUGUAGCAAGGUUAACCGAAUAGGGGAGCCGAAGGGAAACCGAGUCUUAACUGGGCGUUAAGUUGCAGGGUAUAGACCCGAAACCCGGUGAUCUAGCCAUGGGCAGGUUGAAGGUUGGGUAACACUAACUGGAGGACCGAACCGACUAAUGUUGAAAAAUUAGCGGAUGACUUGUGGCUGGGGGUGAAAGGCCAAUCAAACCGGGAGAUAGCUGGUUCUCCCCGAAAGCUAUUUAGGUAGCGCCUCGUGAAUUCAUCUCCGGGGGUAGAGCACUGUUUCGGCAAGGGGGUCAUCCCGACUUACCAACCCGAUGCAAACUGCGAAUACCGGAGAAUGUUAUCACGGGAGACACACGGCGGGUGCUAACGUCCGUCGUGAAGAGGGAAACAACCCAGACCGCCAGCUAAGGUCCCAAAGUCAUGGUUAAGUGGGAAACGAUGUGGGAAGGCCCAGACAGCCAGGAUGUUGGCUUAGAAGCAGCCAUCAUUUAAAGAAAGCGUAAUAGCUCACUGGUCGAGUCGGCCUGCGCGGAAGAUGUAACGGGGCUAAACCAUGCACCGAAGCUGCGGCAGCGACACUAUGUGUUGUUGGGUAGGGGAGCGUUCUGUAAGCCUGUGAAGGUGUACUGUGAGGUAUGCUGGAGGUAUCAGAAGUGCGAAUGCUGACAUAAGUAACGAUAAAGCGGGUGAAAAGCCCGCUCGCCGGAAGACCAAGGGUUCCUGUCCAACGUUAAUCGGGGCAGGGUGAGUCGACCCCUAAGGCGAGGCCGAAAGGCGUAGUCGAUGGGAAACAGGUUAAUAUUCCUGUACUUGGUGUUACUGCGAAGGGGGGACGGAGAAGGCUAUGUUGGCCGGGCGACGGUUGUCCCGGUUUAAGCGUGUAGGCUGGUUUUCCAGGCAAAUCCGGAAAAUCAAGGCUGAGGCGUGAUGACGAGGCACUACGGUGCUGAAGCAACAAAUGCCCUGCUUCCAGGAAAAGCCUCUAAGCAUCAGGUAACAUCAAAUCGUACCCCAAACCGACACAGGUGGUCAGGUAGAGAAUACCAAGGCGCUUGAGAGAACUCGGGUGAAGGAACUAGGCAAAAUGGUGCCGUAACUUCGGGAGAAGGCACGCUGAUAUGUAGGUGAAGCGACUUGCUCGUGGAGCUGAAAUCAGUCGAAGAUACCAGCUGGCUGCAACUGUUUAUUAAAAACACAGCACUGUGCAAACACGAAAGUGGACGUAUACGGUGUGACGCCUGCCCGGUGCCGGAAGGUUAAUUGAUGGGGUUAGCGGUAACGCGAAGCUCUUGAUCGAAGCCCCGGUAAACGGCGGCCGUAACUAUAACGGUCCUAAGGUAGCGAAAUUCCUUGUCGGGUAAGUUCCGACCUGCACGAAUGGUGUAAUGAUCUGGACACUGUCUCAACCGUGAGCUCAGUGAAAUUGUAGUAUCGGUGAAGAUGCCGAUUACCCGCGAUGGGACGAAAAGACCCCGUGAACCUUUACUAUAGCUU